rnacentral:rRNA from 1 species
UACGUAGGGUGCGAGCGUUAAUCGGAAUUACUGGGCGUAAAGCGUGCGCAGGCGGUUCGUUGUGUCGGUGGUGAAAUCCCCGGGCUUAACCUGGGAAUGGCCAUGGAAACUGGCGAACUGGAGUGUGGCAGAGGGGGGUGGAAUUCCGCGUGUAGCAGUGAAAUGCGUAGAGAUGCGGAGGAACACCGAUGGCGAAGGCAGCCCCCUGGGUCAAGACUGACGCUCAUGCACGAAAGCGUGGGGAGCAAACAGG